AACCAAAUAACAAAAUCAUCACAUUGAAGCUGGACAAGUCAACCCAUAAGAAAAAAGAGAGCCCAAGAGCAGGCACAAGAAUCAGAGGCUCACUUCUUUGUUCUGGAAGCUGUAAAAGGCCUGACAGAUCCACCUGGGACCUGUGCUUGCUGUUUCCGUCUAUGAGUUCAUAUGAGCUUUGCUCUGUUGAUUUACAGGGUCUUGCUCUGAUGACUUCUGUUUCCUCUGCUUUUACACUGCUGACUCUUCCUUGGGGCUCCCUGAGCUUGGGGGUGGGUGGGUGAGAUGUCUUUUAGAGAUAUGUAUUACAAGGGUCUCUAAUGUCUGUCUCUGGGUCUCUCUCCCCCAUUCCCUCCUCCCCCCCCCCCGCUCCCCCUCCCACUGUGUGCCCAUGUGUAUUAAAGGCAACUCACCAUAUAGUAUUCACUGGACUGGAAGUCUUCAUUAGAUCUGGCUGGCUUUGAGCUCAUAGAUGUACUUGCUCCUCCAUCCCUAGUGCUGGGACCAGAGGUGUGAGCCAUCACACCCAGCCUUUCUUUGCACUUUUUGCUUUUCAAAUGUCAUUAAAACAAGCAUGCCACGUCAGACCCUGGCAAAUUAUGCCAGCAGAAAUUCACAUAUCUAUUUACAUAGAUGGCUUACAAUCUUGAUCCCAUGACUAAGACAAAAUGAAAAAGUUUGAGUUUUCCUGGUAUAAGCUGAGUGAUGGCCAGAAAUAGCACCACUUGCAUUAGAUGUUUUGUUUUCCUCCUAUUAUGGUGGAAAUUGCACAUAUGAAAUGGAGGUAUUCUUUGUAUGAGAUUUAUGAGAAAACUAAUGGCUAUAAUGCCUGUGUUAAUAAUUUAGUAAAAUAAGGUAGUGAGAAAACAGUAAAUUUUAUGUGAUGCAAAUGAAAGAUCAGUUCUUAAACACAUAAUCCACGUGUUGAGCCUUAGCUUUAAUCCUCAUUAUUGCCAAUAGAGCAAAAAAGCAAAGAUCAAACUAAGGAUUAAUAAAGUAAAUUUGUAGAUAUGGUUUUCUUAGAAGCAAACUAUACUUCAUUUGUCUCCAGAAAGCACAAAUUUAAAUUUGAUAGCACAAAUUAGUAUAGAAGGGUAGCAUCAAAUGUGUGGCACUAUAACUUCCCUCACCGCUUUUUUUUCUGGAGAUCUCCUUAAUCUUCUAGGUCCUUUAGAAAGCUUCCUAUAUUGUGUAUGAUGGACAAAUCAAAUAAAAAAAUUGUGUAUUCAAAAUUGUUUGAAAACCACACUAGUUUUAAUUCUUGAGGAUUGGUAUGAAGAAUAAGGAUGAUCAUAGAUAGAUUCAUUGGACAUUUGAAGUUGAACUUUGAGAACUGUUCAUUAGCUCAUUUUUGGAUUGAUUUAGUUUCUUUAGUUCUUUGCAUAUUUUACAUAUUAAUUCUUGUCAGUUGUGUGAUGAACAAAGGUUUGUUCCCAUUGUUUGUCCAAUUUUUCACUUGGUUAUCCUUUUACUAGACAGCAACUAUUUUGAAACUUCUGGCAAUCCUCUGCCAGUUCUUGGCAUUGUUUCCUCAGUGCUUCUAACCUUUAGUAUGCCCUUGCCUCUGCCAGCUUCAAAGUAUUUUGCUUGAUCUUUCCAUCUUACACUUCUCAAAUUGCAGGUCUUAAGGUGUUCCGUCCAUCUAGAAUUGAUUUUUCCAUAAGGUGAGAAAUAGGAUUCUAUUUUUAUUCUUCCAAAUGUGGGUUCCCAGGUAGCAGCAGUGUGUGGAGUAGGCUAUUCUUGUAUUAUUGUGAGUGGUAUCUUGGGAAAAAACGAGGUGCUAAUUGCACAGGUUUACAACCAAGUAUUCUACUGCAUUUAUUUACAUGUCUAUAUUUGUGCUAGUAUCCUAUUCUUUUGCUACUGUCUCUGUGGAAUAAUUACAAAUCUGAUAUGGUGAUAGCAUCAACAUUAUCUAUCUAUCUAUCUAUCUAUCUAUCUAUCUAUCUAUCUAUCUACCAGGAUUGCUUUGAAUAUCCAUUGUCCUUUGUGUUUCCAUGUGCACUUUACUAAGAUAUUUAGUAUUUUGAAUUCAUUGUAUGGGAUAUUUUAAUCACUUUUUAAUCACACCUCUUUUUACAUUAAUUCUGCUGAUCCAUAACUAUGGGGAUUCCCCCCCCCCAUCUUGUACUGUUGUCUUUAUUUUCUUCAGUGUUUUAAAAUUCUCAUUGUAGCUAUGGCUUUAUGCCUCCUAAGAGUGGUGCUUGUCAGAUUUUUGUAGUAUCCCACCACUUAGUUUUAUGGGAUAGUUUGAAUAGCAUUUGAUUAAUACUUCUUUGAAGAUCUCAUCGAAUUCAGAAUGAAUGAGAGUUUGUUCUAUGCCUACCCUUUCAAUUUUUUUUUAUUACAGUCUCAGUGUCAUGGAUUUUUAUAGAUGUUUAAGUUUUUUAUCUGUCAGUUAAAUUUGGUGAGUCAUGUGUAUCUAGAAAUUAAUAGAAUCUUUUAAAAGUUUCCAAUUCAUUAGAAUAUAAGAUUUUAAGAUAUUCCUUAGUGAUUUUCUGAACUGUGUUGGUGUCUGUUCUUCUUAUCACCUGUAGAGAACUUGAGUGUUUUUUCUCUUUUGCUUAAUUUGGCUAAGAGUUUGUUGAACUGGUUUAUGUCUUGGCAACAACAUGCUGUUAUUUCAAAACUUAGUGCCUAACUUGUUUGUUUUCUCUGUUUAUUUUUUUUUAAUUAGUUUUUUUUUCUCUCCCUCUUGUCUACAUGCCUGUUGUUUGAACUAUAACAUGCUAUAUAUAGGGGUUUUGUUAUUUCAUCCAAUUCACUCUGCUAAUCCUACUGAAGAAGAGUAAAGAACAUUACU
rnacentral:lncRNA from 1 species